rnacentral:rRNA from 1 species
ACACAUGCAAGUCGAGGGGCAGCAUGGUCUUUUCUUGCUAAGGCCGAUGGCGACCGGCGCACGGGUGAGUAACACGUAUCCAACCUGCCGUCUACUCUUGGACAGCCUUCUGAAAGGAAGAUUAAUACAAGAUGGCAUCAUGAGUCCGCAUGUUCACAUGAUUAAAGGUAUUCCGGUAGACGAUGGGGAUGCGUUCCAUUAGAUAGUAGGCGGGGUAACGGCCCACCUAGUCUUCGAUGGAUAGGGGUUCUGAGAGGAAGGUCCCCCACAUUGGAACUGAGACACGGUCCAAACUCCUACGGGAGGCAGCAGUGAGGAAUAUUGGUCAAUGGGCGAGAGCCUGAACCAGCCAAGUAGCGUGAAGGAUGACUGCCCUAUGGGUUGUAAACUUCUUUUAUAAAGGAAUAAAGUCGGGUAUGGAUACCCGUUUGCAUGUACUUUAUGAAUAAGGAUCGGCUAACUCCGUGCCAGCAGCCGCGGUAAUACGGAGGAUCCGAGCGUUAUCCGGAUUUAUUGGGUUUAAAGGGAGCGUAGAUGGAUGUUUAAGUCAGUUGUGAAAGUUUGCGGCUCAACCGUAAAAUUGCAGUUGAUACUGGAUAUCUUGAGUGCAGUUGAGGCAGGCGGAAUUCGUGGUGUAGCGGUGAAAUGCUUAGAUAUCACGAAGAACUCCGAUUGCGAAGGCAGCCUGCUAAGCUGCAACUGACAUUGAGGCUCGAAAGUGUGGGUAUCAAACAGGAUUAGAUACCCUGGUAGUCCACACGGUAAACGAUGAAUACUCGCUGUUUGCGAUAUACUGCAAGCGGCCAAGCGAAAGCGUUAAGUAUUCCACCUGGGGAGUACGCCGGCAACGGUGAAACUCAAAGGAAUUGACGGGGGCCCGCACAAGCGGAGGAACAUGUGGUUUAAUUCGAUGAUACGCGAGGAACCUUACCCGGGCUUAAAUUGCAGAUGAAUUACGGUGAAAGCCGUAAGCCGCAAGGCAUCUGUGAAGGUGCUGCACGGUUGUCGUCAGCUCGUGCCGUGAGGUGUCGGCUUAAGUGCCAUAACGAGCGCAACCCUUGUUGUAAGUUACUAACAGGUUCCGCUGAGGACUCUGACAAGACUGCCAUCGUAAGAUGUGAGGAAGGUGGGGAUGACGUCAAAUCAGCACAGCCCUUACGUCCGGGGCUACACACGUGUUACAAUGGGGGGUACAGAGGGCCGCUACCACGCGAGUGGAUGCCAAUCCCCAAAACCUCUCUCAGUUCGGACUGGAGUCUGCAACCCGACUCCACGAAGCUGGAUUCGCUAGUAAUCGCGCAUCAGCCACGGCGCGGUGAAUACGUUCCCGGGCCUUGUACACACCGCCCGUCAAGCCAUGGGAGCCGGGGGUACCUGAAGUGCGUAACCGCGAGGAGCGCCCUAGGGUAAAACUGGUGACUGGGGCUAA